UUUGAUCGAGCCGAGCAGGAGCGGCCGGUCCCCCGGCCGGUCCUGCCCGUACGUGGCCAGCAGCGCCUGGGCUUC
rnacentral:antisense_RNA from 1 species